CAGCGAAACACCAUGUGCAGAAUGAGUCUUUAAAAACAGUUAUAAAAGGCCAGCAACUCUCAUGGAAUUCUCCAGUUUUCUGAUUUAAACAGUCUAUGCAUUAUAAAAGCAUGUAGAUUAUGUGCAAGGUGGAGAUCAGCUGUGUCUGCAUUCAGAGCUGGAUGGACUGAGCCAGGAGCCCGGGAUCCCUCGCCAGUCUUUUUAUCAUCUUUGUCACGUCACUUCUCUGGUGGUAGUUUACUUCAUGGGAAAUCCGGAAGUUGACACAAGAACCAACACAACGUAUACUGGUGCUAUCUUGAAUCAUCAUUACCCGUUUAUUAUGUUGUCACGGUUUUUAAUGUGAUGAAUGAAAUGUGCAAUGUUGGUUACGGAAGACCUCAUGGGAAGGUUUAUCAUAUUGAUACCCGAGUGUUUCAUUUUACUUGAUGCUUUAUUGGUGAGUAUUAAUUUAUUUCCUUUGUUGUAUUUCUGGAUUUAAAAUUCAUUUUAAGGUUUCAUUGUGAUUUUGGAGAAACAGGCUGGGCUGUAUGCCUUUUAAUUAUUUUCCUUGACUUCUUGCCUUUGCUGGGAUUUCUAGUUGAGAAGAAACAUCAUUGAUGAGAAAAAACAUCUUCGCCUUUUCCUAACCUUAUGCGGGAAACUGAAUGUUCUUUUAUUUCUGGGCUUUUCAUUAUUAUUCUUAUGUAGGCUAAGGGGGUUCAUUUGCUGAGAGGUUUUGCUAAGAAAGAAUGUUGAAUUGUAAGAAAUGUUUUUGCUGCAUCUGGUGAUGUGAUGAAAUGGUCUUUCUUGGUGUGUUAACAUAGUGAUUUGCUUUGGUGGAAUCUGGAGUAUUGAUCUAGCCUUAUAUUGCCAGCAGGAACCCCACUUGAUCAUGAUACAAUACCCUUUUCACAUAUUGCUGUAUUUGAGUUGCUAAUAUUUUGUUGAGGAUUGUUGCAUCUGUGAUUUUCAGAGAUAUUGGUUGAUGGUUAUAUUUUCUUGUACUGUCUUUGGCUUUCAUAUUGGAGUAAGGCUAUCCUAAUAAAACAAGUUAGAAAAUGUUCCCUGCUCCUCUA
rnacentral:lncRNA from 1 species